AACGAACGCUGGCGGCAGGCUUAACACAUGCAAGUCGAGCGCAUCCUUCGGGGUGAGCGGCCGACGGGUGAGUAACGCGUGGGAAUCUACCUUUUGCUACGGAAUAGCUCCGGGAAACUGGAAUUAAUACCGUAUGUGCCCUUAGGGGGAAAGAUUUAUCGGCAAGAGAUGAGCCCGCGUUGGAUUAGCUAGUUGGUGGGGUAAAGGCCUACCAAGGCGACGAUCCAUAGCUGGUCUGAGAGGAUGAUCAGCCACAUUGGGACUGAGACACGGCCCAAACUCCUACGGGAGGCAGCAGUGGGGAAUAUUGGACAAUGGGCGCAAGCCUGAUCCAGCCAUGCCGCGUGAGUGAUGAAGGCCUUAGGGUUGUAAAGCUCCUUCACCGGAGAAGAUAAUGACGGUAUCCGGAGAAGAAGCCCCGGCUAACUUCGUG
rnacentral:rRNA from 1 species